rnacentral:rRNA from 1 species
AAUAGAUACCCUGGUAGUCCACGCCGUAAACGAUGAGUGCUAAGUGUUAGAGGGUUUCCGCCCUUUAGUGCUGCAGCUAACGCAUUAAGCACUCCGCCUGGGGAGUACGGCCGCAAGGCUGAAACUCAAAGGAAUUGACGGGGGCCCGCACAAGCGGUGGAGCAUGUGGUUUAAUUCGAAGCAACGCGAAGAACCUUACCAGGUCUUGACAUCCUCUGCCAACCCUAGAGAUAGGGCGUUCCCCUUCGGGGGACAGAGUGACAGGUGGUGCAUGGUUGCCGUCAGCUCGUGUCGUGAGAUGUUGGGUUAAGUCCCGCAACGAGCGCAACCCUUGAUCUUAGUUGCCAGCAUUCAGUUGGGCACUCUAAGGUGACUGCCGGUGACAAACCGGAGGAAGGUGGGGAUGACGUCAAAUCAUCAUGCCCCUUAUGACCUGGGCUACACACGUGCUACAAUGGAUGGUACAAAGAGCUGCGAACCCGCGAGGGUAAGCGAAUCUCAUAAAGCCAUUCUCAGUUCGGAUUGU